rnacentral:rRNA from 1 species
GACGAACGCUGGCGGCGUGCUUAACACAUGCAAGUCGAACGAAGAGCGACGGAAGCUUGCUUCUAUCAAUCUUAGUGGCGAACGGGUGAGUAACGCGUAAUCAACCUGCCCUUCAGAGGGGGACAACAGUUGGAAACGACUGCUAAUACCGCAUACGAUCUAACCUCGGCAUCGAGGAUAGAUGAAAGGUGGCCUCUACAUGUAAGCUAUCACUGAAGGAGGGGAUUGCGUCUGAUUAGCUAGUUGGAGGGGUAACGGCCCACCAAGGCGAUGAUCAGUAGCCGGUCUGAGAGGAUGAACGGCCACAUUGGGACUGAGACACGGCCCAGACUUCUACGGGAGGCAGCAGUGGGGAAUCUUCCGCAAUAGACGAAAGUCUGACGGAGCAACGCCGCGUGAGUGAUGACGGCCUUCGGGUUGUAAAGCUCUGUUAAUCGGGACGAAAGGCCUUCUUGCGAAUAGUGAGAAGGAUUGACGGUACCGGAAGAGAAAGCCACGGCUAACUACGUG